CCGUCACUCCAGCAAGGAAGCAGCUAGCUAAGAAUAAAGGGGUGGGGUUUGUGAGGUCGGGAUUGGCUUGCGGCGGUUACACCUGCCUUCCGGUUCGACUAAAGGGAUGUCAAUCUAGCCCAAAGGUUUGCCGCGCUCUCUCGCUGGAGGUUGUGCGCGUGCAUAGCACGCAAGGUGGGCCAGUUCUUGGCCUCGCGAGCUGACGUCAUGGGAGGAAUGCGGUGACGCGACGCUGCUCUUGUGACGUCGACGACGAAGGCCGGGCUCCGGGUUCGAUGAUGUCAUCGGGUCCUUUUUCCUCCCCCUGCUGCCCUGCGAUGGAAAUGGCAAGGAUGGAGGAACAAGUUAAAUGACAUCAGGAAACAGCUGUCAAACCCCAAGGGUGGAGUAUGCUGGAGGACAACUGUCUCUUCGAUGAAUCAGUCAUGGCAAAAGGGAAUGGGGAGUAUUCUAGGGCAGGUGACAUCAUUGACAUUUGGGGCCAAACUGCAUUGUAGGGUGCUGAGCAGCAUUCCUGGCUGCCACUCACUACAUGCCAGGAGCACACAGCCCCCAUCCCUCACCGGAUGUGACAACCAAAGAUGUUUCCAGACACAGCCAAAUGUCCUUGGAGAUAUUGCCCUAGAGGAUGGCAGAGCAACUGGCAGGAGGACCUGGGAUCCCCAGGCCAAAAGAGAUAAACCUUCUCUCUUAUUUAAGCCAAUUAUUGGGUCCUCAUUAAAUUGAGACAACUAUGACUUUGGUAAUCCUGUUCCAAGUUUUUAUAUUCACUGAAAGUUUCACACCAGAUAAGAAUGCUCAUUGAAGCAGAAAGGUGAUGUGGGUGUCCAUCCCUAGGGGACCAGAGGAUGAAAUAAGGAAGGCUGCAGAACACAAAACACUAAGCCAACAGUGAAAGCAACAAAGUAGCUCUUAAAAAAUCUGAUGGGGAGUUCCCGUCGUGGUGCAGUGGUUAACGAAUCCGACUG